GUUAUACUCCCUCCGUUCCAAAUUAUUCGUCGCAGAAAUGGAUGCAUCUAGAACUAAAAUACAUCUAGAUACAUCCAUACCUGCGACAAGUAAUUCGGAACGGAGGGAGUAUUUG
rnacentral:pre_miRNA from 1 species